UGUUUCAAUAUCAGUUUUGUUCAGUACAGUGGAAGAGAGUAAAGAUGGUGCCAAAAAUAAAAAGUAAAUCUCAAAAUAGGUCCAUUAUUCCUCAACCUAGAGGGAACAGAGCUACUAAAACCACCUGUCUCUUAAUUCUCCUAUGUAUCGCACUUAUGUACCUGCGUGGAGCUGGGAAUUUCACAAGCUGUCAAAUUGUCUAUAGCUUGGCAAUUCAUUUUGUCAUUGCACAAAGCUGGCAUUUCAUAAUGGGGAUAUGUGAGUUUUCUGAAGAGAUAGCGCAUGUGAACACCAGGUAUAAUGGAGAAUACAUGAAGGCAUUUAAUGCAAGCUUCAAUAUCAGGAAUGUGGGUCUUCUCAUUUUAGCUGGCAUUCUAUGUGUUAUAUUUUAUAAAGAUGACCUCUUGCCCAUACUCCCUGUUAUGAUUAAUAUGGUCAUGGUGGUUCUUUGCAAUUUAACAUGCUGUUUUUGUGGACUUCAGGACCCAACGCCAGCAGCUAUUUCUGAAAUUACUGAAAAGAAACACCUGAAUGUUGCCCAUGGGCUUGCAUGGUCUUAUUACGUUGGAUAUCUACAUUUUAUUCUCCCAGAAUUGAAGGAUAAGGUGAAACAGUUCAAUGAAGAGAACAACAAUAUACUCAGGUUUCCAGAAACCUGGAAGCUGCAUAUCUUGUUGCCUUUAAGCUGCAAAAUAUAUGGGGACUUGAAUGAGGCAGAUAAGAACAUAUCAUUUGUUAGAGAGAUUCCGCCAGUAUACAAGGAUCGAGCCGGCAUCAAAGGAAGAGUUUUUAAAAACAAUGUAUAUCGCAUUCUGGAUGAAGAUCACAGGCCAUACUACUGUAUUGUGGAAUAUGCUACACCUCUAGCGUCUCUGCACAAAAUGUCAGAUAUCGCCAGCGCUGCCUUCAGUAAGGAGGAACGUAUACAACAAGCCAAACUCUUCUAUCGCACGUUGAAGGACAUCCUAGAAAAUUCAGUGGAGUGUCAAAGCACCUUUCGAUUAGUAAUUUAUGAUGAUUCCCUCCAGUCUGACCAUCAUGAUGAGCACUUGCUAUCUCAGGAAAUAUUGAAGCAUAUAAAGCAACAACACUCUCAGGAAUAUGAUCUGGAUUAAGUUGAUUAAAGACUGGUAUUCUCUGUAUUUGUUGUUCUUUGGUAUUCUAGAUUUCAUAUAAUAAUAUAAACAUAUCCCAUGACAAAGCCCUCAAUGGGAGAAAUGCGUUAGCAUGCCCCUUACCACGUCAACCAAACACUUAUCCUGCAGCCUUUUGGAAACCUCUGAGCCCACAACCAGGAAGUGGAGAGCCGGAAAGCAUCUCUGUACACUCCUGAUGUCCACCGGGACCAGCAAAGCUGAAGGAGAAAUCAGCCAAACAGCAGGAACUUUACUAAACAGAUGGACACCAGACGCUCUGACAUGAGUCAGCGACAGCCAUGCAGCUAUCACUGCAUUGAGAGCGAGUAACGCCAGAGUUUUAACGAACAGCUUCUGGGUGCUGCUUGCAAAACACCUGCCUCUGAACUUUCAAAGAAGGGCUGUUAACCAAUUUAUGAAGCAACAUUUCGAGCUCUGAAUCCAUAGAAACUCAGCCAAGUAACCAGAGAAAUCCAAAUUUGUGGACGGAGUGGAGAUCCCGGUACACAUAAUUGGUGAUGCCGCCUACCCGUUACGACGAUGGCUCAUGAAGGGGUUCACCCAACAUGUCCAGCUGAGCCCCAUUCAAAUUACAUAUACGCACACCCUGAGCUCAGCAAGAAUGGUGGUCGAAAAUGCCUUUGGACGAUUAAAAGGACGUUGGCGCUGUCUUAUGAAGCGCAAUGAUGUAGACAUUAAUAUCAUGCCUAACAUUGUUGCAGCAUGUUGUAUUCUGCAUAACCUAUGUGAGUUUCAGGGCGAGGAAUUCCUACCAGAGUGGACAGUGCAGGCCUCUGCUGCGUACCCUGCACUUGAUUGUGAGGCCUAUCUGGGCGACCAUUCUGGAAGUGCAGAACAGAUGAGGUCUGCUAUAAUGGCCAACCUUCCCUCAUUACUCCGUUAAUUUUUUUCAGUUUGUAUAUUCAGUUAAUUGUUGUUGCUACAAAAAAUAAACCUGUUUAGUUGACGUUCUGCUACUGUGUCGAUAACAAAUGUUCAACAUCAAUAUCCAAUUUGAAAUGGAUGUAUCAUGCAUUUUGUUUGUAAGUAAAAAUAGGACAAGUCCAAAGAUUAACAAAAGGUCAGAGACCUUAGAAUUUUAAUUUGUAUAAAACUUUGGUAAAUAAAGUAGUGAAAUCUUUACAGUAAUAAAAGUCAAACCAGUAAUAGUGUAGGAAAAACACUCCUAUGAUUUUAAAACCAACUUUUUUAAAAAAAAACAAUAACCAUUUAAGAUAAAUUACGAUAAACAGGAGACUCUGUAGUUGUCUCCGUUUCAGAAGGUGAUUGGGUGUGUUGAGGUUGUGUAUGUUGAGGAUGGGUAUAGUGAGUUGGAGUUAGUGGAGGUGGGGUUUGUUGAGGUUGUGUAUGUCGAGGAUGGGUAUAGUGAGUUGGAGUUAGUGGAGGUGGGUUUUGUUGAGGUUGGUUAUGUCGAGGAUGGGUAUGGUGUGGCGUUGGUUGAGGUGGGGUAUGAUCAUA